GCCAGGCAUGAAGGUUUCCUAGAUUUGCCAGAUCUCUCUUGUACAUGCUGUUUGUGUACAUCUUAAAAUUUCCUUUCCCUCUCCACCUCUGAGCCAGAAGCUUAAAGUUUCAUCAGCAGCAGGAUCAGCUUGCUGUCCUAGUCUGAAACAGACCUUAAGAGCUGGAGCGGAUGAAGUAGGAGUCUGCUCAAAUGCAUUUCUUUCCUAGAGAUGUGUUUCUCAUGGUGUUGACCAGAUAUGACAGCUGCAAACAGUAUCAAAAACAUCUGGACAGGCUGAAACUGAAGACAACACCAUUGUCAAGCUGAGGAAUUAUAUGCAGUAGUUUAUGACCCUGCUGCUUCUUUUGCGACUUGAUCCAGUCAACUGCAGACCUGUGGACAGUCAUGAUGACUAUUGAUAACUGAAAGAAACCACAAAGCGAAGGUAAAAAUGGACAAAUUUAAGAGAAAGGUGAUAAGUCAGCAGGAGCUUCAGGCAGCAAUUGAGUGCAGGUUUGGCGUGGAGAUUACUGAUGAAGAGUUUGAGCUGCUACUUGACAGAAUCCCCCUUGAUGAAGAUGGAAAUGUCAGAUAGCCUCAGUUCAUGCCCAGGUUUGAUUCCUGUAGUCCUUACUCCAAAAUGACAUAAAGAACACUGGUUUUGAGAAGAGGGCCUAAGAAUGGCCAAGAGGAGGCAAAUAUCAUGGGCGAAGCAGAAGUAGGUAAGAUGGCAUUCUGCAUAAACCUGGUUUCAAGAUAUGUAGGUUUCCAUUCAUCUUGUGGGCGAGUUUUACUAUCCCCAGCAUAGCUACUGAUGCUUGUCCUGAAGAAAGAUAAUUCAUUAUGAUCUGUCCUGCCCAAAUAUAUCCAACCCCUUUCUGGAUUUAAUGACAAAUCUUCCUUACCAGCCAACCUUCAAGCGUAUCUCUGCAGAAGGACGUAAAACCCAGCAAGACUCCCUUAUCACAUGGUGUUAACUGACGUGACACUGUCAUUUUCGAUAUAUGUGACUUCUUGCCUCCAACCCCCAUGCUGAGAUCUUGUGUUCCUUUUUUCCCCAGGGUCAUGUCGUACACAGAGACCCCACUGUGGCUUUGCUCUGCUGGGUCAAGGGAAACAUGACAAUUUUUACCCUUUCCUAUUAAUGGUUAAAUUUGGAGAAGGAAAAGCAAGAGGUGUUUGUGGAUUUCAUCAUCAAGAUUGAUUUUAUAAAUCAGGGCAAAAUGUAAAGACGGACCCUCUCCAGGGCUUUUGACCUCCUGUAUCUUUAAGAGAGGGGUAGCAGGAUGGCAUCUAACAGGCUCUGUAGCUGUCCCAGAUUUUAACUGUUUUCUUCAGAAUAGCAAGUAUGUGAUUCAAAGAGUGCCUGGCAAAAACUUCUUGUAUUUUUGCAGUAGCAGCAUUGGGAAUAUUUCAUGUAUAUGUAAGAUCCAGCAUCCAUGUAAACUGUUGUUGUUUUCUGCAACUUUGUGUAAGUUGGGGGAAAACUUAGUAAGUACCGUUUCUCUUUCUUUCUUUAAAAAAGACAGGGAGAGAAAGCCUGCAUUUUCUGCCAUUUCCCAAGAGGCUUUUUAUCUGUUUAAACCAACUAGGGAUUUUUCACAUAUUGACAUAAGCAUUCAUUUGCUAAUUUGCUGGACAUUAAACUGCACAGCAUUCUUGAAUGAGACUGGAAUACUUGGGUACUUAGUGCUGCUCAGACCCCGCAUCAUUCCCAGUACACAUAUGGUUUUCCUCCUCUAUCUCCUAGAUAAAAGUCACUGUUUGAUCGCCUUAAGGAAAAGAAUGAGUUAAAUGGACCAAUAUUCUAGCCUUGGCUCUAAAACUGGGCCUUUUCAGAAACUCCUCAGCACCUGCAGCAGCUAGGUCAUUUGCACAUACAUAAAUAAAUAAAUUAACAAUGAAUAAAUAAUUUAAUCCCACCACACAAUGCCACCUUGCAGAUCUGAUCCUUUGCUCCCAGUGAAUUUGUCCAUUCCUAAUUCUUUUUGAUAAAGUCCUCAGAUACUUGCUGACUGUCAGUCUAAUUUUCUUAUUGUUUUCGCUUGAUUAGUUCUGUAUGACCUAAGGUCGCCCUUAAAAUCCACAUCUCUCGUGAAGACUCCGAAAGGCCUUCUUUUUUUCAAAGGGAUGGAAAGUGCCUGCCAUUUCUCCGGACAAAAGCCUGGAAGGUUUUCAGUUAUUAGCCUCCUGAAGCAGCCCUUUCGCUCACCCAAGCGCAAAAAAAACUCAUUAGGGGGCACCUUUCUUUCUGCCUUCUUUAUCUGACGCAUGUAGGGUUUACGUGUUUCAAGAUUUGCAGGUCUUGGAUGAAUUUGGACAGCCUCCCUUUUAACCCUGCCGGCCUGCAGUUAUGCCCACCGCAGACAUUCACCGUAGCUCCGUGCCCUUCACCACCUGGAGAUGCUUCAUCUUUUUAAAAGCUGUUUUACACCCUGCUUCAUGGUGAACAGAAGACACUUCAGCAUGCUGCUGCACUUUGAAGCCACACUCCCGCGGGAUG